AGUGAACGCUGGCGGUAGGCCUAACACAUGCAAGUCGAACGGCAGCACAGUAAGAGCUUGCUCUUACGGGUGGCGAGUGGCGGACGGGUGAGGAAUACAUCGGAAUCUACUUUUUCGUGGGGAUAACGUAGGGAAACUUACGCUAAUACCGCAUACGACCUACGGGUGAAAGCAGGGGAUCUUCGGACCUUGCGCGAUUGAAUGAGCCGAUGUCGGAUUAGCUAGUUGGCGGGGUAAAGGCCCACCAAGGCGACGAUCCGUAGCUGGUCUGAGAGGAUGAUCAGCCACACGGGAACUGAGACACGGUCCAGACUCCUACGGGAGGCAGCAGUGGGGAAUAUUGGACAAUGGGCGCAAGCCUGAUCCAGCCAUACCGCGUGGGUGAAGAAGGCCUUCGGGUUGUAAAGCCCUUUUGUUGGGAAAGAAAAGCAGCAGGUUAAUACCCCGCUGUUCUGACGGUACCCAAAGAAUAAGCACCGGCUAACUUCGUG
rnacentral:rRNA from 1 species